AAACCCUCCAAUGACU
rnacentral:miRNA from 1 species